rnacentral:lncRNA from 1 species
UAGCUCUAGCCACUGUACCUGAAACUAGAUUUGGUACCUAUGAUAGAAGAUUAUGAAUGAAUUCUCAAGAAGAAAUGACAGUGAGAUUUCAAAUGAUUUUUUUUCUUUCAAUUUUGGUGACUGAAUCUGAUGUCCCCAAGUUUACAAAAUGGCUGGAUGUAUCCACUAGAGGUCAUGAUUGAGUCUAUAUCAAGACCAGAUUACUGUUAGGCUUUAGACCCUUAUGCUUGUUUUCUCCAAGCUCGGAGUCCACAUAGGCUGAUGAUAAGCAGUGAUAAGUGCUUGCUGGAUCUGUAUGACUCACAGCAUUUUACAGAACAUGACAGUUGAUACUUUGCAGGCAACAGAGUUUAGCUGAUGCACAAAUAAAUGUUUCUCUGCUUCAC